rnacentral:rRNA from 1 species
GACGAACGCUGGCGGCGUGCUUAACACAUGCCAGUCGAACGAAGAGCGAUGGAAGCUUGCUUCUAUCAAUCUUAGUGGCGAACGGGUGAGUAACGCGUAAUCAACCUGCCCUUCAGAGGGGGACAACAGUUGGAAACGACUGCUAAUACCGCAUACGAUCUAAUCUCGGCAUCGAGGAUAGAUGAAAGGUGGCCUCUACAUGUAAGCUAUCACUGAAGGGGGGGAUUGCGUCUGAUUAGCUAGUUGGAGGGGUAACGGCCCACCAAGGCGAUGAUCAGUAGCCGGUCUGAGAGGAUGAACGGCCACAUUGGGACUGAGACACGGCCCAGACUCCUACGGGAGGCAGCAGUGGGGAAUCUUCCGCAAUGGACGAAAGUCUGACGGAGCAACGCCGCGUGAGUGAUGACGGCCUUCGGGUUGUAAAGCUCUGUUAAUCGGGACGAAAGGCCUCCUUGCGAAUAGUGAGAAGGAUUGACGGUACCGGAAUAGAAAGCCACGGCUAACUACGUG